GUAGGGAAUCUUCCACAAUGGACGAAAGUCUGAUGGAGCAACGCCGCGUGAGUGAAGAAGGUCUUCGGAUCGUAAAACUCUGUUGUUAGAGAAGAACGUGCAUGAUAGUAACUGAUCAUGUAAUGACGGUAUCUAACCAGAAAGCCACGGCUAACUACGUGCCAGCAGCCGCGGUAAUACGUAGGUGGCAAGCGUUGUCCGGAUUUAUUGGGCGUAAAGGGAACGCAGGCGGUUUUUUAAGUCUGAUGUGAAAGCCUUCGGCUUAACCGAAGAAUAGCAUUGGAAACUGGAAGACUUGAGUGCAGAAGAGGCGAGUGGAAUUCCAUGUGUAGCGGUGAAAUGCGUAGAGAUUUGGAAGAACACCAGUGGCGAAGGCGACUUUCUGGACGAUGUCUGACGCUGAGGCGCGAAAGCUAGGGGAGCGAACGGGAUUAGAUACCCGAGUAGUCC
rnacentral:rRNA from 1 species